UCUUUUUGAAAACCCCAGCAGGCCUACGUGGGGGAAGUGACUUACGACUUGAUUCCUUUUGGAGAUACCCCAGCAGUACUGAAUGGGGGUCACUCCAAGCCAUAUUCCAUUCUGCAAAUACGGACGGUGUUCGUUUUGAACAUUUACUAAUCAGCGUUUCGGUAAAUACUGGCCAAAUUACCCCUAGCUAACAUGUUGCUUGAGUAGUAUUGACGAAAACGUUAUCGUACGAAGUUUGCUUGACUCAUAACUACGGAACAACCAAUCAUACAUUAUCAUAAACUUUAAACAAUGAUUUAGUCAUGGGAAACCAAAGAUGAAAACAUUUGAACGAAGAGGAUUUGCUUCUUAUUUCAAACCGGCACAUAGCAUAUAAUCCGCGUUUCAGCAGGCAUCCGUAACUUUCCUUUUACUCUAUUUCUUUUCUUCUUUCCCUCUGCUUGUCAAAUCUACUGUUCAGCUAACUUUUCAUUUUCGCUGUUGGUUGCGCUAUUUUUAAAGAACAAACGCGAGUUUCUUCACGUAUAGCUUUUUCUUUUAUAUUAUUGUCGAUUCAUUAGUUUAAAAAGCGCGUCCUCGUGUUUAAACAAGAUUGUCCUUUAUUUUUCUCUCUCUCCCUUUUUCCGUCUUUGCGUGUCUCUCUUUCUAUUUUUUUCGCUUCAUUCUUUCUUUCUCUUGUGUACGCACGCGUUCAAAUUUCUUUUUCUUUUUGUUCGUACCUUCUCACUUUCACUGUUUAAUCUGCACCUCCUUUCUUCUUUCUCUUUGCAUUUGC